rnacentral:lncRNA from 1 species
GGCGCCGAGACUCGAGCGAGGAGAAGCAGGAGGCUGCGCGCUCGGACGCUGCGGCCGCAGCCACGGCCAGUUUCCACGGCACAGAGGCACCGCUUCCGCCAACAUGGCAGCGCCCGCGCCGUGGCCAAUGAGCGAGGACGCCGCGGGUCCGCCUCCGCCUGCGGCCGUCAAGAGCGGCGCGCGGACCGCCGCCGCUGCUUCGGCGGGUCGUGCUGCCCCCUUGCUUCGGAGGGCGGCACUGCGGCCCCGCGCGCGCUUCCUCCCGGUAGCCCAGCUCCGGGCCAGGCGGGGUGAGCCCGGGAGGGGACCGGCGGGAAGGGUCAGGGGCGCUCCCUCCCCACCCCACCCUUUCCACUGGAAAAUCGGCUCGCAGCCCGUGUCUUCUCCCUGAGAUUGUUCCGCGGAGAGCAUAGCCGUGGCCGGAUGCUGGCCCCUUGGUUCUGAGGCCGGUCUCCCAGAGUUGGGCACAUCGCCAUGUCACUCCUCCGGUCCCCGUGCGCCGCCGCCGCUGCCGCCUGGGCGCUGAGGCCUCGGUGGGAGACUGGGCCACCGCCCUUAGCCCCGGCACCCGCAGGCGAGCGUAGCUUCUCCUCCCGUGGGCUCCGAUCCUGGGAACUGCCGGGAGGAAGGCUUCACACUCUUCACCCUGCAAGUCUUUGCUUCCUGCAGCCUUGCUUUAAGAAACCAGGCCUCGGCUGCUGUUGGAGAUGCCGGCUGCUGUUGGAGAUGCCAUUAACCCUUAAUAGUCCGAAAAAGGGGGUGGAACAGUGGAAGACAAUGCCUUACAAAGACAGUCUUGUGUUCAAGUCACUCCAGACAGGAAACCGGCCACGUUUUAAACAUGUGGGUAUAGAAUCUGCAACAACCGAUUCCCUACCAUCGGGCCUGGCAAGGCUUCGCGAAGGAAAUAUUUCCAGCCAAUACUCUGAGAAUGUGACAGAGGAUGAGAGCUGGAGUCAGUCCAGAAAAUCAGAAUAAAGUGCCAGAGGAGCAAUUAUGAGGAGCGCACUCUGUGGCCCUAUUAUGUUUCUGUGGCUAUAGGGAAUGAAAACCUCAUCAUUUGGUUUUCGUUCGUUUACUCUUACUAUGAAAUUUUGCAAACAUGCAAAAAGAAGGGUGGAGAGCACAAGCCUUCCCGAGCCUGUCCACGAGCAAGGGGAGGGGGGGAGUAUCUAAAAUACAUAUUUUAAGUUUAUUUACUUAUUUUGAGAGAGAGAGCAAGCAGGGGAGGGGCAGAGAGAGAGGGAGACAGAAUCUCAAGUAGAUUCGGCACUGUCAGUGCAGAGCCCCAUGUGGGGCUUGAACUCACAAACCGCGAGAUCGUGAGGUGAGCUGAGAUCAGGAGUCAGACGCUUAACCGACUGAGCCACCCAGGCGCUCCUGGAAUAUAUUUUAAAGCAAAUCCCAGGCACCACAUCAUUCCUGGCUCCCAAAUACCUUGGUUUAUAGUUCAGAGAAAGCUGAGGAACUCUAGCUGAGCCAGGAGUUGAACCGCUCCUUAUCUCCAUUAUAAUUCCCUUCCACAAGUAUUGCCAGGCCUUUGGUAAAGAAAUGAACCUGAACGUGUGCCGCCUGGGGUGCUAAUGUCGGGGAUGCUGAAGGGGUUAGGUGGCAAAGAAGGAUAAAGACCCCGCUACCUGCUCUCCGCCCAAGAGUCAAUAGGGAACAGCCAAGACCCCACAGAGUGGGCUUGGAAUCAUAGGCUGUGGUAAUGAUGCAUCCUAUCAAAGCCAGGAGCUGCAGGAAAGACCCCAGAUGCUGAUGGAGAGCAUCUCACUUCGGCUCAGGUCAUGAUCUCACAGCUCGUGAGUUCGAGCCCUGUAUUGGGCUCUGUGCUGACAGCUCAGAGCCUGGGGCCUGCUUCCGAUUCUGUGUCUCCCUCUCUCUCUGCCCCUUCCCCCACUUACAAUCUGUCUCUCUCUCUCAAAAAUAAAUAAACAUUUAAAAAAAAGUAGGUACGUAGC